rnacentral:rRNA from 1 species
AGGGUUUGAUCCUGGCUCAGAACGAACGCUGGCGGCGUGGCUAAGACAUGCAAGUCGAACGGACAAUCCAAUUGAGUAAUCGAGCGGAUAGUUAGUGGCGAAGGGGUUAGUAAUGGAUAGGUAACGUACCCCAUGCUCCGGGAUAUCGUUAGUAGCUUCGGCUACUUUCCGAAAGGGGCAUUAAUACCGGAUAAUAUAUCCAGUUUUAAGACUGGAUAUCAAAGAUUUAUCGGCGUGGGAGCGGCCUAUCUCCUAUCAGCUUGUUGGUGAGGUAAAGGCUCACCAAGGCAAUGACGGGUAGCGGGACUGAGAGGUUGGCCCGCAACAUCGGGACUGAGACACUGCCCGGACCUCCACGGAGGGCUGCAGUAACGAAUAUUGCGCAAUGGGCGAAAGCCUGACGCAGCGACGCCGCGUGUGGGAGGAAGUCUUUCGGGAUGUAAACCACUGUCAGGGGUUAGAAAGUGCACUUCGGUGUAUUGAUCAGCCCCAGAGGAAGUCACGGCUAACUUCGUGCCAGCAGCCGCGGUAAGACGAAGGUGGCGAGCGUUGUUCGGUGUCACUGGGCUUAAAGGGUGUGUAGGCGGGUGCGUAAGCGCUUUGUGAAAUCCCUCGGCUUAACCGAGGAAUUGCUUGGCGAACUGCGUAUCUUGAGGCAGGUAGGGGUCAGUGGAACUGUUGGUGGAGCGGUGGAAUGCGUAGAUAUCAACAGGAACGCCGGUGGAGAAAUCGGCUGACUGGGCCUGUCCUGACGCUGAGACACGAAAGCGUGGGUAGCGAUCGGGAUUAGAUACCCCGGUAGUCCACGCAGUAAACAAUGUCUACUAGGUUGUGGCGGUUCUGACGCCGGCACGGCCGAAGCAAAAGUGUUAAGUAGACCGCCUGGGGAGUACGGUCGCAAGGCUAAAACUCAAAGGAAUUGACGGGGGCUCACACAAGCGGUGGAGCAUGUGGAUUAAUUCGAAGCAACGCGCAGAACCUUACCUGGGUUUGACAUGCUUGGAUGCCAACCGGGAAACCGGGGAAGCUGCCUUCGGGUGAAACUUGCACAGGUGCUGCAUGGCUGUCGUCAGCUCGUGUCGUGAGAUGUCGUGUUAAGUCCUUUAACGAGCGAAACCCUUACCGUUAGUUGCCAGCGGGUAAUGCCGGGGACUCUAGCGGGACUGCCGGUGUCAAACCGGAGGAAGGUGGGGAUGACGUCAAGUCAUCAUGGCCUUUAUACCCAGGGCCUCACACGUGCUACAAUGGUGGUGACAGAGCGACGCAAGACCGCAAGGUGGAGCAAAUCGCAAAAACAUCGCCUCAGUUCGGAUUGCAGGCUGGCAACUCGCCUGCAUGAAGUCGGAAUCGCUAGUAAUCGCGUAUCAGCUACGACGCGGUGAAUGUGUUCCUGAGCCUUGUACACACCGCCCGUCAAGUCAUGGGAGUUGGGAGUACCCGAAGCCGGUUUGCCAACCGUAAGGAGGCGACUGUCUACGGUAGGCCCGAUGACUGGGACUAAGUCGUAACAAGGUA